GACAGAGGUGCCGAGCGUUAGGCGGAAUCACUGGGCUUAAAGCGUGUGUAGGCGGGUCGGUAAGUGCCUUGUGAAAUCCCACAGCUCACCUGUGGAACUGCUUGGCAUACUGGCGAUCUUGAGCCACUUAGGGGCAACCGGAACAAACGGUGGAGCGGUGAAAUGCGUAGAUAUCGUUUGGAACGCCAAUGGUGAAAACAGGUUGCUGGGAGUGCGCUGACGCUGAGACACGAAAGCCAGGGGAGCAAACGGG
rnacentral:rRNA from 1 species